rnacentral:rRNA from 1 species
CGAAAGUCGGGAAAGAAAUCCUACGGGGGAAUAUCCCGUGGGGAUGACGGUACCCGACGUAAGCCCCGGCUAACUACGUGCCAGCGGCCGCGGUAACACGUAGGGAGCAAGCGUUGUCCGGAUUUAUUGGGCGUAAAGAGCUCGUAGGUGGUUCCGUAAGUCAGGUGUGAAACCUCCAGGCUCAACCUGGAGACGCCACCUGAUACUGCGGUGACUGGAGUCCGGUAGGGGAGCGUGGAAUUCCUGGUGUAGCGGUGAAAUGCGCAGAUAUCAGGAGGAACACCAGCGGCGAAGGCGGCGCUCUGGGCCGGUACUGACACUGAGGAGCGAAAGCGUGGGUAGCAAACAGGAUUAGAUACCCUGGUAGUCCACGCCGUAAACGUUGGGCACUAGGUGUGGGUCUCAACCAACGGGAUCUGUGCCGUAGCUAACGCAUUAAGUGCCCCGCCUGGGGAGUACGGCCGCAAGGCUAAAACUCAAAGGAAUUGACGGGGGCCCGCACAAGCGGCGGAGCAUGUUGCUUAAUUCGAGGCAACGCGAAGAACCUUACCUGGGCUUGACAUGUAGGGAAAAGCCGUAGAGAUACGGUGUCCUUCGGGGCCCUACACAGGUGGUGCAUGGCUGUCGUCAGCU